CAAUAGCGUAUAUUAAAGUUGUUGCAGUUAAAAAGCUCGUAGUUGGAUUUCUGGUGGGAGCGAUCGGUCUGGCGCUUAGCGCGAGUACUUGCAUCGUCUCCGGCCAUCCUUGGGGAGAGUCUGUCUGGCAUUAGGUUGUCGGGCAGAGGAUCCUCAUCGUUUACUGUGAAAAAAUUAGAGUGUUCAAAGCAGGCUUAUGCCGUUGAAUAUGUUAGCAUGGAAUAAUAAGAUAGGACUUUGGUACUAUUUUGUUGGUUUGCGCACCAAAGUAAUGAUUAAUAGGGACAGUUGGGGGUAUUCGUAUUCCGUUGUCAGAGGUGAAAUUCUUGGAUUUACGGAAGACGAACUACUGCGAAAGCAUUUACCAAGGAUGUUUUCAUUAG
rnacentral:rRNA from 1 species